GCCAUAUCAGAGCUGCAUUAAGUUACCUGUGGUAUCAAACCCGCAUUUGCUGUUACCACCGGUAACCACAGCUGUUCCUGUUCCACAUUAGUACAAAGUUUGAAGACCAUCGUCCUUCGUGCACACAGAAGACGCUUUGACCUCCACAAUUACAUUGUGACCCCUCUUACAUCGAUCUCUCCCUUCCUCUGUCUGAAUGCUGAAAUCUCAGAUGCACAUGUUAUGCGUCUGUAGUCCUCAUGACCUCGAGGGACUGCUGUGAGGUCAGAGGACCAACUCCCCAACUCUUCAUUUCUGUGGAAAACCGAAGUUGGGCUGACCAGCAGGGCGAGGCCAGGGAUUAGAAAAGAAUUGGAAAAGGACUGCACAUGGAAGCUUCAGGAAAAACCCAUAACAGGGAAACUACGGUGGUGAGGCUGGCACUGACCCUCGAGCCAAGCUUCCAACUCACACUGAAGCCAUAAUGAGGCUUUUCCUUCCAGAGGCUUCUCUAGAGUCACUCCCCGAACGACCGCAGGAAAUGGAAUUUUCUGAAAGGAUCAAAACAAGUCGAGAGUUGUAAAUGGUUUGAGUUUCCGACAAAGACAAUGUGCCAGAUUCCAACGCCUUAAGGGACACAACCAUAUCACAAUGAAUCCUCUGUCUGUAUAAUACGUGUGCACGGGAACACACCCACUUGUUCACACACAUACACAUAUAUAUGUAUAUAUACUCUUAUGGACCCACGCAAACAUGCACGUGGGAACACACAACACACACACUGUUUAUUAAUAGUUGAGAGAUCCUGGGAAAGUGUGCAGUAUACCAGUGGUUUUCCAGUGGAAUCUUUUUCAUACCUGUGUGUCAGGGCUUAGUGUGGUGCAUGCCUCUGCAUAUCCUGCACUCCUGGUGUGUGUGAGUUCUCUGGGCCUAAAGGCAGCCUUACAUAUAACAGUACUCUGCUUUUGUUUGGGGGCAAGGUUCAGGAGGGUAAUGGAGAAAUGCACAGUUUCUGUUUAGGUGCAUGUGUGUGUGUGUGUGUGUGUGUGUGUGUGCAUGUGAGUGUGUCUGGGGUCAGGCAGCCCAUUAGCAAGACAUCCCCUGAUCUAAUUGCCUCCUUCCAGCAGCCAAUUUGACAGCUCUGUAAUCUACAGUUACUCACAGCACUCACCAUGGUGGGUCUGUUUGUGUAUGGGCGUAGAUGAGUGUGAACGUGUGUGUGUGUGUUUGUGUGCGUGUGUGUGUGUUUGUGUGGCAAGCUACAGAUUAACCACCACACUUCCACUGAAACAUACCUGCAAUUUCUUUCUGGUCAUAAAAAUGUGCAGAAUCUGACUUAGAAGUGGACAGAGAUAAUUCUGUAAACCAUGUGAGUCCAUAUGUUCUCUUGUCCUAUUGCCUUUAAACAAGUAUUUGAGCAGUGAUACGAUGUGUGUACGUGACAAACGCAGGAUUCAGAAGUAUUCAGAAAGUCUUCCAGAUUCUGACCUCUAUAAGUCAUUGGCAAUGCAUUGCACAGUCUGUGAGCAAAUAUGGAAAAUGUGAUGAUGUCCAGCUGUACAACCUAAAGCUGUCACCAAGUGAGGGUGAAAAAGCUUCAGUUCAAGCUCCUAAGUACACAGGUUUUCAUCGUGUAUGAUGGUUUAUGUAUUUAAUCUUCAAAAUGGCACAUAUUUGGAAAGAUCUUUGAAUGAAUGUUAA